AGUCGAGCGGUAACAGAGAGAAGCUUGCUUCUUUGCUGACGAGCGGCGGACGGGUGAGUAACGCGUAGGAAUCUACCUAUUAGUGGGGGAUAAGCCAGAGAAAUUUGGUCUAAUACCGCAUACGCCCUACGGGGGAAAGGAGGGGCUCUUCGGACCUUUCGCUAUUAGAUGAGCCUGCGUAAGAUUAGCUAGUUGGUGAGGUAAGAGCUCACCAAGGCGACGAUCUCUAGCUGGUCUGAGAGGAUGAUCAGCCACACUGGGACUGAGACACGGCCCAGACUCCUACGGGAGGCAGCAGUGGGGAAUAUUGGACAAUGGGGGCUACCCUGAUCCAGCCAUGCCGCGUGUGUGAAGAGGGCCUUCGGGUUGUAAAGCACUUUCAGAUGUGAGGAAAGGUGAGUAGUUAAUACCUGCUUACUGUGACGUUAGCAUCAGAAGAAGGACCGGCUAACUCCGUGCCAGCAGCCGCGGUAAUACGGAGGGUCCGAGCGUUAAUCGGAAUUACUGGGCGUAAAGCGCGCGUAGGCGGUCUGUUAAGCUGGAUGUGAAAGCCCAGGGCUCAACCUUGGAACUGCAUUCAGAACUGGCAGACUAGAGUAUUGGAGAGGUAAGUGGAAUUUCCUGUGUAGCAGUGAAAUGCGUAGAUAUGGGAAGGAACACCAGUGGCGAAGGCGACUUACUGGCCAAAUACUGACGCUGAGGUGCGAAAGCGUGGGGAGCAAACGGGAUUAGAUACCCCGGUAGUCCACGCCGUANACGAUGUCUACUAGCCGUUGGGAUCCUUGAGAUCUUAGUGGCGCAGCUAACGCACUAAGUAGACCGCCUGGGGAGUA
rnacentral:rRNA from 1 species